AACGAACGCUGGCGGCAGGCCUAACACAUGCAAGUCGAGCGAGACCUUCGGGUCUAGCGCGGACGGGUUAGUAACGCGUGGGAACGUGCCCUUCUCUGCGGAAUAGCCACUGGAAACGGUGAGUAAUACCGCAUACGCCCUUCGGGGGAAAGAGUUUAUCGGAGAAGGAUCGGCCCGCGUUAGAUUAGAUAGUUGGUGGGUAGCGGCCUACCAAGUCUACGAUCUAUAGCUGGUUUUUAGAGGAUGAUCAGCAACACUGGGACUGAGACACGGCCCAGACUCCUACGGGAGGCAGCAGUGGGGAAUCUUAGACAAUGGGCGCAAGCCUGAUCUAGCCAUGCCGCGUGUGUGAUGAAGGUCUUAGGAUCGUAAAGCACUUUCGCCAGGGAUGAUAAUGACAGUACCUGGUAAAGAAACCCCGGCUAACUCCGUG
rnacentral:rRNA from 1 species